UUGUAGCCAAUCAACUCCUCUAGCUAUAUAUAUAUAUAUAUAUGGAGAGAUAACACUUCAUUUCAAAAAUAAAAAAUAAAAAAUAAAAAAUAAAAAUUGAUCACGGUGUACAAAAAAAAUAACGAAGGCUUUCGUUAAGGAUAGAAGACGAAGGGGAGUAGCUCGCAUUAGCAUACAUCGUGUUGACGAAUCGCUCAUUAGAUUUGUAGUUCGUUUAAUUUUUGCUUUGAUUUUUAUCAUUUUGGUGCUCUACCUCGUUUUUCGUUUUCUUUGAAUUGUGUAUUUUAGUUUCUCAUUUAGCUUAGAGUACUGUUUUUGUUAUUAGUUUAGCAUUAGCGUUUGUUCGGUGUUUCCUGCUCUGUUCUGUGUUGUAGCGUUUAGUUUGUUUGCUUUUCAACUUCAAUUACAAAUCAAACAACUCUCAGAGCUAGAGCUUAAACAGGAAACAGGUGAAUUUUGGUGAAUAUACUACUUUGUUCAACAAAUUGAUAUGAGAAAAGUCCCAAUUUAUAGUAUAUUUCAUUUAGUUUUCAAAUAUAUAAAUUUUAAUUUUAAAUUAUUAAGUUAAUCUAAUUCAGUUUAGCUUCAAAGUUUAGUCAAAUUGACUCUCGAAAAGCGAAAAGUGUCACAUAAAUUGGGACGGAGGGAGUAGUUGUGUUUGUACGUGAAACUGAUAACUGGUAGUAGCAUGGCAAUUUGUUUAUCAGGAUGUUGAAGAAAUACGGUAAAAUUUGUGCAUUUUGCUUAUUACUGGUUGUGCAAGUACACUUGUAUUAGUUGUGUGUGUAUAUGAAACUGAUAAUUGAUAGUAGCACCGUAAUUUGUUUAUCAGGAUGUUGGAGAAAUACGGUAAAAUUUGUGCAUUUGCUUAUUACUGGUAAAUUGUUGUAUAUGUUGUGCAAGUACACUUGUAUUAGUUCUGUGUUUAUAUGAAACUGAUAAUUGGUAGUAGCGUGGUAAUUUUUUACCUUAUCCUGAUUUUGGAGCAAAAUUGUAGUAGUUGUUUAUCUCUUGAGCUCAAGAAAGCUGCUGCUAUUUUCUCAUGAACCUAACUGAAGUGUGAUCAUGCCAUGAGUGCAUUCCAGUUAAGGUAUAAGUCUGAGUUAAACAUUGUUAGACACUUAUUAAGCGUCGACAAAUAAUAUAUCAUCGACGAUAUCUUCGAUAUAAUAUAGCGCACAAUAUUGUAAAAGAUUGUGAGGACUGAAUUCUACGUUUGUUAAAGCAUGUCGACAUAGAAAUGACUACCAAGUGAAAUGAUGCAUCUUGGUAAGAGUAAAGCUUAUUAGACCUGCGGUCCAGACAUCAAAAGAUAUGUGUCUUGUCUUAUUAUGAAACGUAACUUUAAGCAUCUAGAAUUUGAAUUUGAGUCUUCAGCAAUUAAAUGACGUCUUGUAAUAAGUUGCAAUGACCAGUCUAAAAGUGUGGGAUUACCAGUGAAAUUCAUGUGCUAUAGGUUGAUUUUAACUGUUUGAUAGUAAUAAUUAUAACUGGAUUUCAGAUUUCUGACAAUAAGAGUUUAAACAAUGACAUAUAUUUGAUAUGUUAUCUGUACUAUUAUUGUAUGUCUUAAUUUUGAGCUUUUUCAUCUGGUUGGUAGAUGCCUUAGGAAGUGGAUAUCUCACUUCCUUUCUGCUGACUAGAGGAUGGAAUCUCGAUAAUGUUCUACUGUCAUUAGAAGCAUACGUGAAAACAGAGAAUAUUGAUGCAAUGAAGUCACACCCCCACCUAUAAUACAACAGUGCCAUUGGUAAGAGUAAUGAUGAGAAGAGUAAGGGAAAGAUUAAGAAACAAGCUUGCUGUCUUCCCUGGUUCAGUCACUUGCUACUAUUGACUUGAAUUCUUCAUUUAACAAAGCAACCAUGGAUCUCUUAACUGAAGGCCUUAACGAAGGGAUUACAGUUAUAGGAACAGUCCGGUGCUUAAAGUUUGAGACCAAAGCUCCAGCAUACUAUGUGCUGUGUAAUCCAUUGAGGUACUGUAAGGGAGGGCUUGCAACAGCAUCAGCCAUGGUGCUCAAGACCGAACUUUGUCGUUUCUACCCUGGGAGAGGGAUCAGAUUUAUUCGUUCAGAUUCUCAAGUGUUCCUAUUUGUCAACUCAAAAUGCAAACACUGCUUUAAUCAAUUCUUUCAUCAUAGAGUUAAACAAGGAGAUCAUGUCACACUAUUGAGCCCUUUUGCAAAGUUUGUUUUGAAUGGCAAGGAAAAGUAAACUCGUUUAAUAUCACCUUCAGAUGCUAUUCCAAAUAUGCCAUUUUUCUUUUCUCCAUCAGGUUUUUUCUGUAGACACCAUGUAUUAGUGUGUUCUAUCAGUUUAUAUCCCAUCAUUUCGUCUGUCAUCACCACCUUAUAACGCCUCAGGGCAGGGUACACUUGAGCCUCUAGCAAUGGUAAUAUUCUCUGGUUAAGGCAAAGCAAGAUGAUUGGUUGUAAUAACUACGUCCACAAAUUGUUGGUUUUGCAGAUGAUUUUAAAAGAAGGUGGAGGAGCUGGUUGCUGUAAGCUGGGACAGAAGUUUCUAUCUGAUUAGAUUGCACACAACAAUUAAUUUUGGUUAACCAGACGCGUCGAUCAGUCGUUGUCUGGUGGGGAUGCAUGGUUCGUAGCAUGCGCCUUACGUGCUAGCUGUUGAGAGAGUUUGGGUAUCACAUGAUUCCAAGUAACAACAACAACAACAUACCCAGUGCGAUCCCACAAACAACAUACCCAGUGCGAUCCCACAAAGUGGGGUCUAGAGAAGGUAGAGUGUACACAGACCUUACCCCGUCCUUGGGAGGUAGAGAGGCUGUUUCCGGUAGACCCUCGGCAUGUCCAGGAUUCCAAGAUUUUGGAGGGCCCCAGAAUCUGGAGAUGAGUUUUUAGAUUCACCCCAAUCAUGAAUAUCGCAGUCAGCUUGCCACAUCAUCUCUCAGAAAGUGUUAUUAAAACGCAUCGCUUUGUCGCUUUAAGUGAUUGUUGCUUCAUGGAUGAAGCUAUACGCAUCAGAGAAGUGUGCGCUUCAAACAAUGAGACGCAAAGUGAUCCAAGCAAAAAAUGGAUCUCAAUUUUGUAGAGUUAGAUUAGUAUCGACAUCAUUGUACAUUGGAUGUUUGGAUUGGUUAUUAAUUGCAAUUUGAUUAUUAUCGUACUAAUUUGUAUAUGCUUUGUAUUUUC